rnacentral:tRNA from 1 species
GACCAUGUAGCUCAGUUGGCAGAGCAUUGGGCUAGUAUUCCAAAGGUUGUAGGUUCGAUUCCCACCGUGGCCA